GACGCCAGUCUGCGUGGAGCCGACCUUGAAAUACCACCCUUUAAUGUUUGAUGUUCUAACGUGGACCCGUAAUCCGGGUUGCGGACAGUGUCUGGUGGGUAGUUUGACUGGGGCGGUCUCCUCCUAAAGAGUAACGGAGGAGCACGAAGGUUGGCUAAUCCUGGUCGGACAUCAGGAGGUUAGUGCAAUGGCAUAAGCCAGCUUGACUGCGAGCGUGACGGCGCGAGCAGGUGCGAAAGCAGGUCAUAGUGAUCCGGUGGUUCUGAAUGGAAGGGCCAUCGCUCAACGGAUAAAAGGUACUCCGGGGAUAACAGGCUGAUACCGCCCAAGAGUUCAUAUCGACGGCGGUGUUUGGCACCUCGAUGUCGGCUCAUCACAUCCUGGGGCUGAAGUAGGUCCCAAGGGUAUGGCUGUUCGCCAUUUAAAGUGGUACGCGAGCUGGGUUUAGAACGUCGUGAGACAGUUCGGUCCCUAUCUGCCGUGGGCGCUGGAGAACUGAGGGGGGCUGCUCCUAGUACGAGAGGACCGGAGUGGACGCAUCACUGGUGUUCGGGUUGUCAUGCCAAUGGCACUGCCCGGUAGCUAAAUGCGGAAGAGAUAAGUGCUGAAAGCAUCUAAGCACGAAACUUGCCCCGAGAUGAGUUCUCCCUGAGACUUAGAGUCUCCUGAAGGAACGUUGAAGACGACGACGUUGAUAGGCCGGGUGUGUAAGCGCAGCGAUGCGUUGAGCUAACCGGUACUAAUGAACCGUGAGGCUUAACCUUACAACGCCGAAG
rnacentral:rRNA from 1 species